UCCUGGCUCAGAACGAACGCUGGCGGCAGGCUUCAUACAUGCAAGUCGAGCGCGAAAGUCCCCUUCGGGGGGCGAUUAGAGCGGCGCACGGGUGAGUAACGGGUGGAUAAUCUGCCUUCCGGUGGAGGAUAACAGCGGGAAACUGCUGCUAAUACUGCGUACGUUUGCUGUCCGCAAGGACGGUAAAGAAAGGCGCGUUUGCGUCGCCGGAAGAUGAGUCCGCCGCCCAUUAGCUAGUUGGCGGGAUAACAGCCCACCAAGGCAACGAUGGGUAGCCGAGCUGAGAGGUUGAUCGGCCACACUGGAACUGAGACACGGUCCAGACACCUACGGGUGGCAGCAGUAGGGAAUAUUGGUCAAUGGGCGAAAGCCUGAACCAGCCAUGCCGCGUGGAGGAUGAAGGCCUUCGGGUCGUAAACUCCUUUUCUAAGGGAAGAAUCCCUGGUGGAGGAAAUGCCACCGGGUUGACGGUACCUUAGGAAUAAGCAACGGCCAACUCCGUGCCAGCAGCCGCGGUAAUACGGAGGUUGCAAGCGUUGUUCGGAAUUACUGGGCGUAAAGGGAGCGCAGGCGGCCAGGUCAGUCUGAAGUGAAAUCCCGAGGCUCAACCUCGGAAGUGCUUUGGAUACUGCCUGGCUUGAGUACGUGAGAGGAGAGCGGAAUUCCAGGUGUAGCGGUGAAAUGCGUAGAUAUCUGGAGGAACACCGAUGGCGAAAGCAGCUCUCUGGCACGUUACUGACGCUGAGGCUCGAAAGCGUGGGGAGCGAACAGGAUUAGAUACCCUGGUAGUCCACGCCGUAAACGUUGUGCACUAGGUGUGGGAGGUAUCGACCCCUUCCGUGCCGCAGCUAACGCAUUAAGUGCACCGCCUGGGGAGUACGG
rnacentral:rRNA from 1 species